UUCAUCGAAUACAACACGUGCAAGAUA
rnacentral:sRNA from 1 species